GCAGAGGGAACAGCCAGGAAGGAAAGUCAGCAAGGCUUGGAGAAUGAGACUCUAACAUGCAGCAUUGGACUGCUUCUGAAUAGGACCAUUUUACCACAACAACUCAGCUUGGGAAACUUACAGGGUGAGAAUCCAGCUCUGCCAGGGACCUUUAGGUGAGACUGGCAAGUCACUUAGCCAAGAAGCAGAGGUUAAGUAGCACAUGCUGCCAUGACCAGACUGUUAGUUUUGAAAGUGUUUACUAUCCAGGUAUUACAGGGCAUUUUUAACAUAGCCUAUGGCCACUAACUGUUAUAGGAGCAGAAGAACAUAUCCUACCCCCACCACAUUUAAACAGGGUUAACAAAUCCCACCCACGGUGUACAGCACUCACAGACUCCACUAUCACUUUCAGAUCCCACUGUCCAGCAUACAAACUAGUUUCUUGCCCAGGUCAAGGAUGGCCCCUGAUAUCAGCUUUACUACUCCCUCCUCCACCUCUUUUUUUGUUUCCAGCAGGCAGCCCAGACCCUCAAUUCACAAAGCAUACUGAAGCCAGAGGAACAGCCAGCAGCAGCCACUCACAAAGGACAAGGAGAGGAGGAGCAAGACUGGAUGUUUUUCAAAAGAUCACAGAGGAUCCUUCAUUUCCAAAUGGACUCAUACGCCAGAAGAUCCUUCGAGAGUGAAAAUAGGUUCAGAAGUGCUCCAGAAGAGAAAAGCACAGCCCUGUCUGACCAGCCUGCAAUAAGAGAGAACCUCCUCUUCCAUACAGUCAAGAGGAAAUAAUUUGGAUCCUAUGUGACCAAGGCUCACCUUGUCCUGGGGAUUGGCUUUGCUUUGGCUCAUUCUCAUAAUCACUACAGGAGGCAGUGAAGUGCUGUUACGUGACCUUUGCAAAUCCAGCAGGAUCCCAGAACAAGAACCCAUUCUUCUUGGUCCAGCCACUGAACCACAAAUUCUCCUGAGAGUGCACAGGCAAGGACAGUUUCCAGAUCAAGACAGUGGAAUGCACAUAUGCAUAUCAUUACAAAGACCAUGGUUUUGAGAGUCAAGAACAGGGACUGCACAGAACAUACCUGAAAAGCUCUAAGAGGGA